GAGAGCAUGACCAGUGUGCCAUAUAAAACCUUUUUCUCAUGUGAACUGGUCAUGCUCUUAA
rnacentral:pre_miRNA from 1 species